rnacentral:rRNA from 1 species
GUUGGCUUAGAAGCAGCCAUCAUUUAAAGAAAGCGUAAUAGCUCACUGGUCGAGUCGGCCUGCGCGGAAGAUGUAACGGGGCUAAACCAUGCACCGAAGCUGCGGCAGCGAACGUAUCACUUAAAGCGAUUCAGCGGAUGACGAUUGACGGAGCGAAGCGACGUCAAAGCGUAUACAAAGUCGAGUCGGUUUAAGGAUACGUUCGUUGGGUAGGGGAGCGUUCUGUAAGCCUGCGAAGGUGGCCUGUGAGGGUUGCUGGAGGUAUCAGAAGUGCGAAUGCUGACAUAAGUAACGAUAAAGCGGGUGAAAAGCCCGCUCGCCGGAAGACCAAGGGUUCCUGUCCAA